rnacentral:rRNA from 1 species
UUUGAUCAUGGCUCAGGAUGAACGCUGGCGGCGUGCCUAAUACAUGCAAGUCGAACGAAACUUCUUUAUCACCGAGUGCUUGCACUCACCGGUAAAGGGUUGAGUGGCGAACGGGUGAGUAACACGUGGGCAACCUGCCCAAAAGAGGGGGGUAACACUUGGAAACAGGUGCUAAUACCGCAUAACCAUAGUUACCGCAUGGUAGCUAUGUAAAAGGUGGCUAUGCUACCGCUUUUGGAUGGGCCCGCGGCGCAUUAGCUAGUUGGUGGGGUAAAGGCUUACCAAGGCAAUGAUGCGUAGCCGAACUGAGAGGUUGAUCGGCCACAUUGGGACUGAGACACGGCCCAAACUCCUACGGGAGGCAGCAGUAGGGAAUCUUCCACAAUGGGCGAAAGCCUGAUGGAGCAACGCCGCGUGGGUGAAGAAGGUCUUCGGAUCGUAAAACCCUGUUGUUAGAGAAGAAAGUGCGUGAGAGUAACUGUUCACGUUUCGACGGUAUCUAACCAGAAAGCCACCGGCNAACNACGUNCCAGCAGCCGCGGUUAAUACGUAGGUGGGCAAGCGUUAUUCCGGAUUUANUUGGGCGUAAAGGGAACGCAGGCGGUCUUUUUAAGUUCUGAUGUGAAAGCCUUCGGCUUAACCGGAAGUAGUGCAUUGGAAAACUGGGAGACUUGAGUGCAGAAGAGGGAGAGUGGAACUCCAUGUGUAGCGGUGAAAUGCGUAGAUAUAUGGAAGAACACCAGUGGCGAAAGCGGCUCUCUGGUCUGUAACUGACGCUGAGGUUCGAAAGCGUGGGUAGCAAACAGGAUUAGAUACCCUGGUAGUCCACGCCGUAAACGAUGAAAUGCUAAGUGUUGGAGGGUUUCCNCCCCUUCAGUGCUGCAGCUNAACGCAAUAAGCAUUUCCNCCUGGGGGAGUACGACCGCAAGGUUGAAACUCCAAAGGAAUUGNACGGGGGGCCCGCACAAGCGGUGGGAGCAUGUGGCUUAAUUCGAAGCAACGCGAAGAACCUUACCAGGUCUUGACAUCUUUUGACAAUCCUAGAGAUAGGACUUUCCCUUCGGGGACAAAAUGACAGGUGGUGCAUGGUUGUCGUCAGCUCGUGUCGUGAGAUGUUGGGUUAAGUCCCGCAACGAGCGCAACCCUUAUUGUUAGUUGCCAGCAUUAAGUUGGGCACUCUAGCAAGACUGCCGGUGACAAACCGGAGGAAGGUGGGGAUGACGUCAAAUCAUCAUGCCCCUUAUGAUCUGGGCUACACACGUGCUACAAUGGACGGUACAACGAGUCGCAAGACCGCGAGGUUUAGCAAAUCUCUUAAAGCCGUUCUCAGUUCGGAUUGUAGGCUGCAACUCGCCUACAUGAAGUCGGAAUCGCUAGUAAUCGCGGAUCAGCAUGCCGCGGUAAAUACGUUCCCGGGCCUUGUACACACCGCCCGUCACACCAUGAGAGUUUGUAACACCCAAAGCCGGUGGGGUAACCUUUUGGAGCCAGCACGUCUAAGGUGGGACAGAUGAUUAGGGUGAAGUCGUAANCAAGGUAAC